AGAGCCCCGGCGUGUUCACAUGUCACAGGACAUCCAAGUGUCUGUUUUACAAACUGCUAAAGUCAGUUGAACAAGUGAAGUGAAGAUGAGGCUGUCAGUAGCAUGCUGGUGUAGCCACAAAGAGGCUCGGUCGCUAACAGGCUGAUGGAUUCAGGGAUUUCUUGUUGAAAGCUGAGGCACACCAGAGAACAUUUGGUCAACAGAUUGCUGAUGCUGUUUUGUCCUUGUUUUUUGAAGGAAAUGGCGUGAUUUAGAGUUUCUAAGAAAAACCAUAAUCCGCCGAUUUCAAUCAAUUGGUUCACUGGAUUAUAAUCUCCCUGAAUAUAACCUUUUAUGUCACUCCAACAUCAGAAAAUACCAAUCGUUCUUGUUGCUCCAGAGACAUCUGUGCAGAUGAAGGAGCGCGGUGCAUCGGCCUCUAUUUCACUUCUUCCACAACCUGUCAUGGAAUCAAUCCUGCCUUCAGAUGUGCUGUCUGUAGGGAGUGAAUCAGUGAAGCGCGGCAGCUCUCAGAGCUGAGAGACUGUGAUUAGGACGGAAGAGAACUGGCUGUAAGACAGAGACAAACUCAGAACUGGGUCAUCAUUGUUUCUGUGUGAGGGCCCGCUCUGCAGAUGAAAAGCUUGAAGACAAGAGGAGCAACGAUGCUCGAUACAGCACCGGGAGCCCUAGACGGUUCUGGGAUACCGAAAAUACCCAUGCAGAGCAGGAAUUGGAACUGCAACCCAGAAUUUAUGUAAUAAGAGCUGAAUAAAACAUACUUCUCG
ensembl:lncRNA